ACACGUCUACAUUAGAUACCCGUGUAGUCCUAGCCGUAAACUAUGCGCGUUAGGUGUAUCGGUGACCACGAGUUACCGAGGUGCCGAAGGGAAACCGUGAAACGUGCCGCCUGGGAAGUACGGUCGCAAGGCUGAAACUUAAAGGAAUUGGCGGGGGAGCACAACAACGGGUGGAGCCUGCGGUUUAAUUGGACUCAACGCCGGACAACUCACCGGGGACGACAGCAAUAUGUGGGCCAGGCUGAAGACCUUGCCUGAAUCGCUG
rnacentral:rRNA from 1 species